CGGCUUCGCCUUCAUCUUCCUGCCCGACUGAGGAGAAGAUUUUCAAACGCCGUCAGAAGCGGAGGGCAUUCCUGCUAACGGAGAAGAGGGCCGGCGGCGACACUGUCAGUCAGAAUGGGAUCUGGAACGGCUCAUCUGUCCAUUUGGAGAGUUUUAUAUUCAGAGUUUUAUUGGAGGAAGGCCUGCAGGUCACAAAAAACACUUCAGUCUGUGUGUUUGUCUGCUCUAUAUCACUGUUAAGCUCACAGAUGGAUUUUUAAGGUCGGAGAGUCACGCCGUCAAUCACCCGUUUGGAUGAGGUAAGAAAAUCUCACACUUUCACAGCCUAUCAUGACAGCUAUUAUAACGAGGACUUGAUCCAUAAAACUGAAACCAUCCAAAAGUGAGGGUAAACACGCUACCACAAGGCCGACUCACUCAAGUGUAUCGUCAGUGAAGAUGUAACUCCUGUGAGAUACGACCGAGUCCUUAAAACGACAGACAGACACAUUUUCAUAUCUGAAUGUCUGUUUUAAAAAAUUAUUCAAACAUGUUCAAAAACUCUUAUUUCAUUGCAGAAUUUAACUGUUUGGUUUUCUUCGAGUCAGAGGUUGGGAUAGUCGGAUGCGCUGGUUUAGUUAGUUGUAUUUAAAAUGCAUCGUGUUUUGGAGCUUACUAGUAAUUUCCACCUUCAUCCUGAUCGUCUCCUAAAAGGUUGUAUCCUCCGAUCAUAGCUGAUCGUAACCACUCAAGUUAACGUGUCAAUUUACACCGUCUUCUUUCUGUUCCUCUGCAGAUCGCCGAACUCCUCAGCUGAUCACAAGUUCUAUUUUUUCUGGACGCCGGAGCAUGGUGGAUAAAUUCAGCACAGAUUAACCCGUGCUGGAAAGGAAGGCGGGCGCAGACACAAAAUAAAACAUCCGGCUUCUUUUCAAAAUAAAACACAAAAUUCACACCAUGCAAACAGGUAGGGAUGAACAAGUGAAAGGUUUUUAGACGUCAUUUCACCCCGAUGACACCAUGGAUGAGGAGAUGCUGAUUCUAGAAGUCUAGAAGUAGAUGUCCUCCUCUGGAAGGACACAAUCUACUGCUUAUAUGGUUAGUCUAUGUGGCUAAAGACAACUUGUUAUCGUGAAAAUUGCUGCCAUUCCGGUUUGGAGCUGCUCUGGAAAUGCGGUGGAAAU